CAUGCUGUAAACGAUGUCAACUAGCCGUUGGGGACCUUGAGUCUUUAGUGGCGCAGCUAACGCGAUAAGUUGACCGCCUGGGGAGUACGGUCGCAAGACUAAAACUCAAAUGAAUUGACGGGGGCCCGCACAAGCGGUGGAGCAUGUGGUUUAAUUCGAUGCAACGCGAAAAACCUUACCCACCUUUGACAUGUACGGAAUCCUUUAGAGAUAGAGGAGUGCUCGAAAGAGAGCCGUAACACAGGUGC
rnacentral:rRNA from 1 species